UACAGAGGUCCCGAGCGUUGUUCGGAUUCAUUGGGCGUAAAGGAUGCGUAGGCGGCUUCCUAAGUUUGAUGUGAAAUCCUGGGGCUCAACCCUGGAACUGCAUUGAAUACUGGGAGGCUAGAGUACUGGAGAGGAAACUGGAAUUUACGGUGUAGCAGUGAAAUGCGUAGAGAUCGUAAGGAAGACCAGUGGCGAAGGCGAGUUUCUGGACAGUUACUGACGCUGAGGCACGAAGGCCAGGGGAGCAAACGGG
rnacentral:rRNA from 1 species